GUUGACCUCGGAUCAGGUAGGAAUACCCGCUGAACUUAAGCAUAUCAAUAAGCGGAGGAAAAGAAACCAACAGGGAUUGCCCCAGUAACGGCGAGUGAAGCGGCAACAGCUCAAAUUUGAAAUCUGGCCUCGGCCCGAGUUGUAAUUUGCAGAGGAUGCUUCGGGCGCGGUGCCUUCCGAGUUCCCUGGAACGGGACGCCAUAGAGGGUGAGAGCCCCGUAUGGUUGGACGCCUAGCCUGUGUGAAGCUCCUUCGACGAGUCGAGUAGUUUGGGAAUGCUGCUCAAAAUGGGAGGUAUAUCUCUUCUAAAGCUAAAUACCGGCCAGAGACCGAUAGCGCACAAGUAGAGUGAUCGAAAGAUGAAAAGCACCUUGAAAAGGGGGUUAAACAGCACGUGAAAUUGUUGAAAGGGAAGGGCCCAUGACCAGACUUGUGUCCGGCGGAUCACCCAGCGUUCUCGCUGGGGCACUCCGCCGGGUCCAGGCCAGCAUCGGUUCUCGCCGGGGGAUAAAGGCUCUGGGAACGUAGCUCCUCCGGGAGUGUUAUAGCCCUCUGCGUAAUACCCUGGCGGGGACCGAGGUACGCGCUCCGCAAGGAUGCUGGCGUAAUGGUCAUCAGCCACCCGUCUUGAAACACGGACC
rnacentral:rRNA from 1 species